UUCGCAAUGCCCGAAAGGGUGACGAUGCGACGCCGCGUGAGCGAAGAAGGCCCUAGGGUUGUAAAGCUCUGUCGAGGGUUAUGAAAUAUAGAUGGGUUAAUACCCCAUUUAUUUGACAAAAGCCCAAAAGGAAGCCACGGCUAACUCUGUGCCAGCAGCCGCGGUAAUACAGAGGUGGCGAGCGUUGUUCGGUAUUAUUGGGCGUAAAGAGCACGUAGGUGGUUUUGUAAGUCAGGUGUGAAAGCCUUCUGUUCAAAGGAAGAACGGCAUCUGAAACUGCAGAUCUUGAGUGUAGGAGGGGAGAGUGGAACUUCUGGUGGAGCGGCGAAAUGCGUAGAUAUCAGAAGGAACGUCGGCGGCGAAAGCGACUCUCUGGCCUAUUACUGACACUGAGGUGCGAAAGUUAGGGGAGCAAACGGGAUUAGAUACCCCGGUAGUCCUAACCGUAAACGAUGGGCACUAAGUAGAGGGGUUUU
rnacentral:rRNA from 1 species